AGGAUGAACGCUGGCGGCGUGCCUAACACAUGCAAGUCGAACGUCCUGUCUCGCAAGAGGCAGGGAGUGGCGGACGGGUGAGUACCACGUGGGUUAUCUACCGUGAGGUGAGGAAUACCGGCGAGAAAUCGCCGACAAGACCGCAUAGCCUCGGUGCAAGUCGAGGAAAGCUCUCUCGAGAGAGGGAGCGCCACACGAGGAGCCUGCGCCCGAUUAGCUAGCUGGUGGAGUAAUGGUUCACCAGGGCGACGAUCGGUAGCUGGUCUGAGAGGACGAUCAGCCACACUGGGAUUGAGAACGGCCCAGACUCCUACGGGGGGCAGCAGUGAGGAAUUUUCGUCAAUGGGGGCAACCCUGAACGAGCAACGCCGCGUGCAGGAAGAAGGUUUUCGGAUCGUAAACUGCUUUUUCUCGGGAAGAGAACGGACGGUACCCGAGGAAUCGAGCCCCGGCUAACUACGUGCCAGCAGCCGC
rnacentral:rRNA from 1 species